GCUUCUUAAAGGGAAGUGAAACAAUGUGUGAGUGAGUGACUGGUGGAGCAGAAAAAACAUCUGACAGAAACUCCUUAAAGGAGAAAAUCAACUCUCUCACAGUAAAGGUGUCCAAGUGUCUGGUGGUUGAUGCACAGCUGUGUGGUCCCUGUCCUCUAAGCUGAUUGGUGUCUCCUAGGUGAUGCCCGUCCCACCCUGACGGUGCUGCCCCCCUCCAGUGAGGAGCUGCAGCAGGGGAAGGCCACGCUCAUGUGCCUGGCCAACAAGGGCUUCCCCUCAGACUGGAGUCUGGCCUGGAAGGUGGACGGCAGCAGCAGCAGCAGCAGCAGCAGCUGGGAGGAGAGCAGGAGCCCCGGGGUGCUGGAGAAGGACGGCCACUACAGCUGGAGCAGCACCCUGAGGCUCACUGCAGACCAGUGGAGGAAGGUGGGCUCUGUGACCUGUGAGGCCACCCAGGGCUCCCAGGCUCUGCUCUCAGAGACACUGAGGAGAGACCAGUGUUCCCAGUCCUGACCUGACUCACUGGG